rnacentral:rRNA from 1 species
AAACUGAAGAGUUUGAUACUGGCUCAGAUUGAACGCUGGCGGUAUGCUUAACACAUGCAAGUCGAACGGUAACAGCAGAGCUUGCUCUGGCUGACGAGUGGCGGACGGGUGAGUAAUGCAUAGGAAUCUGCCCAUGUAGUGGGGGACAACCUGGUGAAAACCAGGCUAAUACCGCAUACGCCCUACGGGGGAAAGCAGGGGAUCUUCGGACCUUGCGCUAUUGGAUGAGCCUAUGUCGGAUUAGCUUGUUGGUGAGGUAAUAGCUCACCAAGGCGACGAUCCGUAGCUGGUCUGAGAGGACGAUCAGCCACACUGGGACUGAGACACGGCCCAGACUCCUACGGGAGGCAGCAGUGGGGAAUAUUGGACAAUGGG